CUUCUACAUCCUGAGGAUUUUUAUCAUCUUCUAUUGCUUACAUGUAUUCAAAAAAGCAAAAAACCAAAAAUCAUCCAACGACCAUAACCUGGUAGAUUCCUUUCUCAGUGGAAAAGACUGAAUAUGAGAUACUGAAAGAUCUCUCCCAAAGAUUUUGCUUCGCUGUUUUUUAACGGAAAACACAGAAUGAGAGGCAAAGAAGAAAGACAAGGAAGAUGACUGGCAAAACAGAAACUUUGAGUGCCAAAAGAGAGAUGACUCUUUUCUAUUUGCCCAGCCAUUAUCAGGUUUCAAGUUACUAGAAACACCUCAAAAAAGGUGUCGCAUCGUAGCCCCAAGAUAAGAUGAAGCUGUCCUCGGUGGAAGUGGCUGCGUGACUCGGACAGGCAGACCGUGAAUUCCAAUCAUCAGUUGGAGUAACAGAAGGGUAAUCCCAUUCCUUUGAGAUUGGAAGGGACGUGUAACAAUGGAGUCCAGUUCCCGGUAUAGAAUAGCCCUUUGCAAUGCUUCUCUAGAAGUUUUCGUGGGGUACGUUAUUUAUUCAAAAAACAUUUAUGCAAAAAGCAUAGCAUGCAUUUAGUUGUAUUAGCUCUAGCUCCCGAUGGCCUCGAUGACUGUAUCGUAACCGUUGAGUCAUGGCCUCAACCACUGACUGAACAUCUGGGGAAAGGACUGGGGUUGCCCUGGGAGCACAGGUGAAGGUAAUCCAGCUUGUGACUGAAUGGGGUGGAGCCUGGCUGCACCCUUCUUAGACCUCAUUUAAGGGCUGACUGCCAGCAGGGAAGGAUCUCUUUCUGAAGAUUCCUCCUUGGUGAAGAUUUUUCCUGUAAUCCUAGGUUUUUCUGUUAUGGGACUAGAUGACCUAGGCUAUCUGUGAGCUGAGAGCAGGACAUGACUAGGCACUGAUGCCUUAGAAAGAGGCUGUGUUCUGAAAUGAUACUAUGCUGAGGUGAAACCUACAAGCUACUGCUAAUAGAAAUGGCUGAUUUCUGUCUAAAGAGGGAGAGCUGCACAUCGUUCUGCUGUCAGAGACUGAAGAGCAGUAGUGGGAGCUGCCUGCUGAAAGCCUAACCGUCUGAGAAAUGUUAGCGUUGUGAUCUGCUCGUUCAGAGUUCCUAGAUGAAGAACCUGUUUGGAAAGCUGUGUAUAAACAGUGGGCUUGUGGCUUUGAAAUUUCGUGCUCUAAAUGCAGUAAAGCAUAUCCUGAUCGUUGAAGAGAAACGCAUUCAGAGGUCCCCUGUGGGAGGGAGACUUCAGUAGCCUGAAGGGAAAAGACUAUUUUAAGGGAGAAAUGGAAGGCUAUGUGAAGUACUUGUUUGUUGCGUAUGGUAGAACGUUACUUCCAACAAUCCGUUAAUGUCAGAAAGAAAAUAUGACCUGGAGGUGCUUUCACAUGGAAUGAAUAAUCUACUCUGGAUACAAAGACUUCGUUUUAACCAGGUAAGAGGAAGAAAGGAGUGGAGCUGAAAGUGGAAGUGGCACGUUCCAGAGAUGAGAGAGGAAGAGAAAAAUGGAGCAUUAAAAUGAUGGGAGAGAAAACGGGAGCAACCGCCACAAAGAGGCCGAGAGGCACAUUUCAAAGGAAACUGGAAGCAGGAGAGUUGCAGCUCAGUUGUGCGAUGGAAGUGUCAUGUUCUGUAUAGCAGCGAAAACGGUGUCUCCAGAAGUAGUUUCAGUUACUUUCGUAUAUCAUCGAAGGAGGAGUAUGCUUAUCAUUUGGGGCAAAAAAAGAUUCAUAUGAAAUUGGAAGACAUAAAGGAAGCUAGCUGAAAAGAGCAUUUAGGCAGGAGCUGAUGCUAUCCAAGCUAAAGUCUUUGGACCAAAAAAUAUUCUGCUAUGUAAGGCUGGCAUUGAAAUGCCUUGGAGGAACACGAGU